rnacentral:rRNA from 1 species
CCAGGAUGGCUUCCCCUAGUCACGGCGAGUGAAGAGGGAGAGCCCAAGCUUGAAAGCUGGCGCUUCGGCGUCCGAUUGUAAUCUCAAGAAGUGUUUUCCGUUUCGAACCAUGCCUAAGUCUCUUGGAAAAGAGCAUCAUAGAGGGUGAUAAUCCCGUACAUGGCAUGGAGCGCCCGAGACUUUGUGAUACGCUUUCUAAGAGUCGAGUUGUUUGGGAAUGCAGCUCAAAAUGGGUGGUAAAUGCCAUCUAAGGCUAAAUAUUGGGGAGAGACCGAUAGCGAACAAGUACAGUGAUGGAAAGAUGAAAAGAACUUUGAAAAGAGAGUUAAACAGUACGUGAUAUUGUCUAAAGGGAAGGGUAGGAGGUCAGAGAUGCGUUCUGGGAUUCAGCCUUGCUUUUGCUUGGUGUUUUUCCCAGAUUGCAGGCCAACGUCGGUUUUGGGCGCUGGAGAAGGGUGGAAGGAAUGUGGCACCUCUCGGGGUGUGUUAUAGCCUUCUACUGGAUACAGUGACCGAGACCGAGGACAGCAGCGUACUCGCAAGAGCGGGCCUUCGGGCACCUUUACGCUUAGGGCGUUGGCAUAAUGGCCCUCUACCACCCGUCUUGAAACGGAACCAACCAUUUUUUUGGGAGAGGGCCCAUGAAAGCCCCCUCAUAUAGAGAAACAAUUCUCGGAAGGGUUUUUAUCACUUACCAUCGCGCCUCUAGAUAGGGAGGACCAACCCCCUAGCUUUAGCGUCUCAAAUAAACGGAGGGAAAGAAACUCUACAAGGGUUUUCCUUAUGAACAGGCCGUAGAAGGAAGAGCCAAGAUGGAAUCGGGCUUCCGCGUCAAAUGUUACCAGAGUUUGUCGCUCGACAUGCCAGAACCUUGCAAAGCAUACCAGCCUGUAUACAGACUGAUGGAGACCCUAGACUCUGUAACCGCUUCCAGAGU